GACGAACGCUGGCGGCGUGCUUAACACAUGCAAGUCGAACGGAAAGGCCCUGCUUUUGUGGGGUGCUCGAGUGGCGAACGGGUGAGUAACACGUGAGUAACCUGCCCUUGACUUUGGGAUAACUUCAGGAAACUGGGGCUAAUACCGGAUAGGGGCUCCUGCUGCAUGGUGGGGGUUGGAAAGUUUCGGCGGUUGGAGAUGGACUCGCGGCUUAUCAGCUUGUUGGUGGGGUAGUGGCUUACCAAGGCUUUGACGGGUAGCCGGCCUGAGAGGGUGACCGGCCACAUUGGGACUGAGAUACGGCCCAGACUCCUACGGGAGGCAGCAGUGGGGAAUAUUGCACAAUGGGCGGAAGCCUGAUGCAGCAACGCCGCGUGCGGGAUGACGGCCUUCGGGUUGUAAACCGCUUUCGCCUGUGACGAAGCGUGAGUGACGGUAAUGGGUAAAGAAGCACCGGCUAACUACGUG
rnacentral:rRNA from 1 species